rnacentral:lncRNA from 1 species
UUUAGUUUUGUUUUCCUAACUAAUUUUAGAUUUUAAUAAUUAUAUUAAUAAUUAUUGAACUUGUGUAUGUUCUAAGGUCUAGUGGGUGUCCAAAUUACUUUGGAUUUGGACUUUUCCAUGGACCAAGACCCCCUUUGUAGAACCAUGCAAACAAGCUACAACUUACUGGAGUUUUGAGUAUGAGACUCUGGAGAGUUCGAUAGUAUUAUUGAAUCAUCUGGAGUAGUACUAAAAGAUAAUUCAAAUUAUUUUGUGAAACAUGAAGUGGAAAAAAGGAGGGUACACGGGAUAUUACACCGUGUGUGUUACCAAAACGUCUUGUUAUGUCUAUAAAUGGCAGCAAACGGAGCCAUCGUAUAUACUAUGGCCUUAUGCUUAGCAGUUUUUUGGAUUUGUUUCAAAAUUUGUAACCAAACUUAAUUUUGUAGCUAUACUUUUUUUUAGGGGAAAAAUGAGUCAAACUCUGUUAGGUCAAGCUAGGAGAAAGUCCAAAGACCAAACUCCAUAUUACUAUGCGUUGCACAUAUUCAUGCUAGAAGCAUGUCUACAAAACAAAAGAAAAACUACAAACUCUACUAAAAAGCUUAUUGUCUAAAAUUGGACUUAUUUUAGCCUAGAAAGCAAUAACCUAUAUAACCAAACCAAAGUACCACAGCUCAAGGAAUCGAGGUCUAAAACCAUUUCGGUGUACCUUUCCAUCAAAAAUGGGGGUAGCCUCUUCAAUAGGGUUAUGUAGGGAUUUGUCGGCCCAUCUACUAAACUAGGCUCAAGCCCAAACCCAAAUGAAGAGAGAAGAGAAGAAGUGGAGGCCCAAAGGUUCAGCCCACCAGGCAGCGACAUGCAACCCAGCAGACUAAGACCCAGGCCCAAACUAGUUCUUCAUCUCUCCCAUCUAGAUUAGGCCUGAGAUUAGGUCGUCGGAGAAGCCUCCUGCCCUCGAUUCAGUCUAGUGGCUUGGCUGCCUUGAAAUCCAUGAUCCUCGUCGUCGGCCGCCGCUGCUCCAAGCGUUGUUAGAGAGCGCCACUGUUACCCAUGCUCCCAAUCAACCCCGAUCAGAAGAAUAGAUCGGAAAAGCUUCACCUAUGUCAGUCAGAUUCUCCAAGCCCCUGCUGCAUGUACACCACCUCCUCCAAGGACGGUGCUCCCAAAACCUGAAGUCUAAACCCAAUGUCUCAGACGCCGAUGUGAACCAAAAGUUGUCUGCCUCUAUUCGCUGGAACCAAGACUGCCUCACCCAGUCUACGUAUCAGUCUGAGCUCCUCGCCGAGUUGAGAUGCCGUCACAGAGCCCACAAUUAGAGUUCUCCGCCGCCUAACGCCAAAACCCUAGGUUUUGGUAUUCUCGCUCUGCUUUUUGUGGAACGUCUCUCAACAUUAUUUUGUAGAUAUACUUAUCUGCAAAGUUUAUUUAUUUUUUUUAUGAAAGCUUAAUUAGAUUUUUCUCUACUUUUCAAAUUUUUUUUAUCCAAUAAAGUUAAGACUCGAGGAUUUGGGAAUACAAACAGACACUAAAAAAAGGUAAAAUAUUGUAUAGUCCUUGUGGUUUAAAGUCGACAUCUGUUUAGUCCUUAUGGUUUUAUUGUAAUCUGAAUAUAUAGUUCUUAAAGUCACGAUUUUUCAUCCAAAUAGUCCUUAUGGUUUUAUUUUAAACUGAAUAGUCCUUAAAGUCAUGAUUUUUAUCCAAAUAGUCCUUAUGGCCUUUAACUGAGAAAAUNNNNNNNNNNNNNNNNNNNNAUGAAAAAUUGUGACUUUAAGGACUAUUCAGAUUAAAAUAAAACCACAAGGACUAAACAGAUGUCGACUUCAAACUACAAGGGCUAAACAAAUUUCAAUUCAAAAAAAAAAACAGAGACGGGAGAACCCUAGAGACAGCUCUUCCACGAGAGAACCACGCCUAGUCCGGCGGCACGCCCUUACGACGUCGUCGUCAGACGGGGCCGCAAAGGACCUCAUGUCCGGAGAGGAUGAUCCUACGGAGCAAGAGUGGUGGGGGCUAUGACUUUGUCUUGAUCGGUAGCAGGUUUCAAAGGAGAGAGAUGGUGGAUUCGAAUCAGGGUCGAUGUAUCUGAGAUUGGAGCGCAGACAUGCGGAGUCGGCGUUGUGUGGUCGGAGCCCACCUGGUGAUGAUGAGUUGAUGGCAGAAGCACCGAUAUCGGAUCUUAAUGGUCUGGUUUUGAAUUCGCGGAUGUGCAAUCAAUCUUGGAAACGAUGACUUCAGCAGGCUUGGAGGUCGGAGAUCGAAAGUGAUCUCUGGGCGACGGGUUGGCAGCGGUGGAUGGGGUGUGCGGAUCGAAGGGUUACAGUUUCGACGGGAUGGAGGCGACAUGCCUUGGCAUCUUUGGGCUCUGUUGUGGGUCUGGUGGAGUUUUGGGCUUUUUACUUGUCAUUGGGCCCUUUCUAUGUUACUUUCCUUAGUCUUUCUAGUCUUCUAAACCCAUCUUUUAGGACCACUAGGGUUUUAAAUUAGUUUUUACUAGUUAAUUUCCAACAAGUCUUUAUGUAGGUUUUUAGGAAUCUAGGUAGGUUUUGAUGCCUACAGAUUAUAAUAUUUCUUUUACAUCUAGAUAAUGACCACUUCCUAUCAUACCCAAUGGUCUAAAAGGCGCUAGGCGCUAGGGGGCGGCGACCCAUAGCCUAGUGCCUAGACAGCCUAGGCGGGGACUAGGCGAUUUCCUUUUUUUACAUUUAAUUAGUAUAUAUAUAUAUAUAUAUAUAUAUAUAUUAUUUGAAAUUAGUAAAAUAUGAAUAAAAAAAAUGGCAUGACCUUUCUCCAAAAGUGAGCAACCCAACCUGUAAAUUUACAAACAAAUAUGAUUUCUAAUUCAAAGCACCAUCAACUCUUGAAUUCACAUCAUAAUCACCACACAACAACUUCAAAAUAGCAUAUACUUUCCCACAUAACUUGCACUUCACUUUGUCUAAAUUUGAAGGGUUCACCAAUGCCCCAUAUUCCCAUCCAACAUCUUCGGAAUUACGCUUCAAAGACACAUCUAUCUCUGACAUUGCAUUUGACCCUCCGGAAGAUGUAGUACGACUACUACCAGCCAUUUUCUAGCAAAAAACAAGCCAUUAUAUAGUGAUACACUCAUACACAUACGCAUUGCUAUCCUUAAUUAGUUCCUUAAGGACCUUAACAGAUUAACAAUACCACUGCAAACUUCACAGAUUUAUACAUAUAAUAUAUUGAAUACUCAUGUAUUCCCUGCAAACUUCAUGGGAUCAGUCCAUCCCCUCAGUUAAUGCAUGAUCCUCAAAACUGCCAUUAGNNNNNNNNNNNNNNNNNNNNNNNNNNNNNNNNNNNNNNNNNNNNNNNNNNNNNNNNNNNNNNNNNNNNNNNNNNNNNNNNNNNNNNNNNNNNNNNNNNNNNNNNNNNNNNNNNNNNNNNNNNNNNNNNNNNNNNNNNNNNNNNNNNNNNNNNNNNNNNNNNNNNNNNNNNNNNNNNNNNNNNNNNNNNNNNNNNNNNNNNNNNNNNNNNNNNNNNNNNNNNNNNNNNNNNNNNNNNNNNNNNNNNNNNNNNNNNNNNNNNNNNNNNNNNNNNNNNNNNNNNNNNNNNNNNNNNNNNNNNNNNNNNNNNNNNNNNNNNCAAAGAACUAGGAAGUGGGAACUUGGGAAGUAUAUUCAUACCAGAAAUCCAGAAUAUAACUGGGAAGUGGGAACUGCGCACCGCCAAGUCGCCAACAGAUUGAGAAGUAUAUUCACUUCUCUGAGUUCUCUCCCAAUAAGUCCCAACUAAUUGCUGCCUUGUCUUCUUAGCUGUAUAACAGAUUAACAAUAUAAGGAGGAGAAUCAAAACCCAACAAGGCAACAAGCCAACAACACAAGCAGCCAGCCAAAAACAUAAGAAUAUUGUUUUCAUAGAAGCAGUAGAAGCAGAGAUUUAAAACAGAGAUUUGAAGAAAUACCUGUCAAGACGGAACAAGAAAGAGAGAGAGAGUCGACGACGAGCGGAGAAGGUCACUGACCGGUAGAGAACGACGAGGUCGCUCAAUUUGGGAGAGGCGAAUCGGCAAGGUUGAUCAGUUUGGGAGAGGGGAAACAACAAGGUCGGGUAGUUUAGGAGAAUGAGAAACCAAUUUGGGAAUUAGGUUAAGUAAGCCCGCUGUUUUUAUUGGGUUUUUUUUUUGGAAGCGCCUUCGACGUCUAGUCCCGCCUUGACCAAGACCGCCUUAGACUCGCCUGCAACGCCUCGACGGCGCCUUGACCGCCUAGGCGGUCCCUAGGCGGCUGGCCGCCUAACCUGAACGCCUAGGGGAUAAUCUGGGCGGUUGAGCUCCGCCUACAGCCUAGGCGGCUGGCCGCCUAACUUGAACGCCUAGGGGAAAAUCUGGGCGGUUGAGCUCCGCCUACAGCCUAGGCGGCGCCUUUUAGAACCCUAAUCGUACAGCAAUUGAACGUCUUGACGACGGAAGUUUUCAUGUAAAAUUAUAUCUAUGUAGGGCUAGAUUAUAGCUUGUUAGGCUCAUCAUUGAUGAGCGACAAUGUACAAUAUAAUGGUAUGUGAAUCACCUUAAUUCGUUGAGAUCUGUAACGGUGUCAUUUUUGCUGCGACUAUUAAUACAAUGGGUUAUAUGCCCGCUUUUACGUAAAAAAAGAGAGAAUACAAGUGAACAAUCCUGAAUCAUAAAAUCAUCACGAGUAUGGUAUCAAGUUCUGAAUGAUCAUAACAGUACAAACACGUGUAUCAUAUUUAUUUUGGUCUGUGUGACAUGAUUUAUUUUUCUUGUUUGGAUUGGAUCGGAGUGGUUGACAUAACUAAUCGAUUCACACACAAAAAAAAAAUUAAAAAAAUAGUACAUACGCGCCUAAACGGGGUGAUUACUCCCUUUUUAAAAUUUGUAGUUUGGACUUUGGACUUUGGACGAUUCUGUAACGUCAGGAAAUUAUUCAAAGGAUAAGAAGGAGGUGGCCAUACCCAAAUCUGUGGUGAUUCUCAUGUCGUCCCCACUUUGAUCAUACAGCAACCAAAAUGAAAUGAAAUAAUUUACUUAUUCACGCACACCCUACACGCACAAAUUUUUUUAUUCAAACUUCUCAUUUCUUUUAUUAAUAGAACUAAGAUAUUAAGCAAAUAUAUUAAUACUAAACAAAAUUACAUGCAUGCUAUUAAUAUACUAGUUAAACAGAAAAAUUAGAAAGAAUUGCCUCAUAGUUUUUUCUCGACGAGAGAGUCGUCAUAUAGUUCUCUCUCAAAACCUUAGAAAGAGCCAUUUGAUAAUUUUCUCUCGAAAUAUUCAACUAUAUUAAUACUAAGCAAAAUUACACGUAACAGCCUGCCAUAUAAGGUUGCCACAAAUUACGCACGCACAUUCAGUAACUUACCUACACUAAACCUGAGAGAUAAUAAAUAAAGAUGGGUUGUAGAUUAGUCUUGUCGUCGUUUCUUCAAGUCUGAUUGGGCAUUUCAAGUUUUCAACCCAUGUAGUGAAGAUUGCAGCACAAGCUUCCUCGACCUCCAUCAUAUAUAUAUAGGCAAGGAUAAUCUCCUCUUCACUUGCUUAACCUCCUCGACGAGGUGCAACAACAAUAACCUUCUCAACCUCCACCAUUGUCUCACCUUCAACAAUAACCUUCUCUGUCACCCGUCACCAUCAUGGUAGGCCAUUAUCCUACCAUCGAAAGUUGAAAGGGAAAAUAUUUGAAUGAUACUUCGCCAACACAAACAAAAUGAAUGAUCAUUUGGGUACCGAAUUAGAUUAAAUGAAUCAAAUGAACAAAAUCUGUCCAAACAGAACCGUUAGUGUAAAUCAUAAUUACUGAAGCUCAAAUGAUCUCCAAAUUAGAUGAAAUUUUGCAUGAAUGAUCUACACACUAUGUACUAGACACUUAACGGUAGAGAUGUGAAAAUGUAACCUAAAAGUGAGCGAAAUGAGGAGUACNNNNNNNNNNNNNNNNNNNNGAUCCUUUUUUUUGUUUUAUUUCUGGGGAUAGGGUAUUUGACAAACUUCCCGAUCACAAAAUCACAUCUCCAACGUUCAGUUUGUAGGUGUAUAUGAGUAGAUCACUUAUGCAAAUUUUUAGAAAAUUUGGUGAUCGUUAAGUCAUCCAAAUGUUUGAUUUAUUUUUAAUAAUCUUGAACGGUGUAGGUUUGACAUAAGUGUUAAGAUUUUUGUUUUAAUCCCAGCCAUCAAAGCCCAUUAAAAAACAGAUCUAAUGGUGUGGGCCUAUCCCUAAAAGUAACAAAAAAUAUCCCUCAUUGGAAUGGCCCUGUAUAUAUAUACGGGGAUUAUUAGGUGCGGACGUCCGGACGGGUUUUCCGUCCGGAUUUCAGCCGUUUCUCCACCAUUCCAGUGCCGGCGACGCCGUUUCUUCUCCCCAGCGUGAUCUCAGACCUCCCCCAACAGUGUUAGAAUGAAGAAGAAGGCCAGAGAGAUCGGGAUCGGAGGUCCACCAUGAUCGGUUGUGAAGUUCUGAGUGAGAUUGCUGCACAGACCUCCGAUCACGAUCUCUCUGGCCUUCUUCUUCAUUCCAACACCGUCGGGGGAGGUCUGGGAUCACGCCGGGGAAAAGAAACAGUGUCGCCGGCGCUGGAAUUGUGGAGAAACAGCUGAAAUCCGAAUGGAAAACCCGUCCGGACGUCCGUAUCUAAAAACGACUGUAUAUAUAUAUAGCCCAGAUCAAGAGCGGACGUCCGCACUGGGCUUAAAGUGCGGACGUCGCCAAUUUCUCCACCUUCAGGGCGUCGACAGCAGCGCUUCUCUUGCUGGACGGAUAGCAGACCUUGAUACUGAGCUUCCUCUUGCCAGUGGACUCGCCGGCUACAAGUUUGCAGCCAACCUUGAUCGGAUAGCCCAAGUUGCGGCACAGAGCUCCGAUCCCGAUCCCGAUGACCUUCUUCUUCAUGUCAACGUUGUCCCAAAGGCCUCUGGUGUUGAUCCGGCAAGAGAAGCGCCACCGUCGAUGCCCCUGAAGGUGGAGAAAUCGGCAACGUCCACACUCGAACGGGCCUAUAUAUAUAUAAACUUUUUGAAGCGGACGUCCGCACUUUAAGCACCGGACGGCUCCGACGAUGGCGCGCCUCCACCGGAGCAGACACCGGCGGCAUCCCCGAUCACUUUCCCUUACCAGCGAGAUCGAUUUGAAGGUCUGGGCAACAACCUCCACCCAAAACUUCAGACAAGAUCGAUCUCGGCUGCAAACUGGUAUUCGGGGAACUCGCCAGCAAAGGAAAAUGAUCAAGGAUGCCGCUGGUGUCCGCUCGGGUCCGCUUUGGUGGAGGCUCGCCGUCGUCGGAGCCAUCCGGUGGAAAACGGAGGGACGUCCGCACUUUCAGCUAGUGCGGACGUCCGCUUCAGAUCGGGCUUAUAUAUAUGUAGAUUUUCUUAGGUGCGGAUGUCCACAUUUAUUCUUACGGUGCAAAGUUCCACUUUACACUCACUUUUCAAUCGAAUUUUCACAUCUCCACAGUCUAAUCUUUAGAUACUAAUGUAUAGAUCAUCUCUGCAAAAUUUCGGCCAAUUUGGUUAUCAUUAAGGCACUCAAACUCGAUUAAACCAAUGAAUGAACAUAAUUCUGUCGAACUUGAAUCGUUCAUGUUUAUAACAAAAAAACACAGUUUUGAGUGUCUUAAUGAUAACCAAAUUAUCUGAAAUUUUGCAAAGAUGAUCUAUACAUUAGUAUCUAAAUACUACACGGUGGAGAUGUGAAAAUUCGAUUGAAAAGUGAGUGUAAAGUGGAAAUCUGCACCGUAAGAAUAAAUGUGGACGUCCACAGCUGAGAAGCUCUGUAUAUAUGUAUGCUAGUGUUAUUAUUAACACACCCCAUUUAUUUUUCUAUCCGCACAUUUCACUUUUAUUUACAAACUUGUCAUUUAAAUUUGUUUUAUGAUUGAUUCUCAUUAUAGAUGAGGUGUGUUAAUAGAUUAGUUAUAAUAUAGGGAAAAUUGUCCAAAUAGUGUCUCACCUUUCACAUAAGCUAAGUUUUGGUAUCCCAACUUUAGAAAACUUUAAAACAGUAUCUCACGUUUAUACCCCAACCUAAGUUUGGUGUCUAGAACCGUUACCUCAGUUAAGAAUAACUGACGUCAGUCAUAUUUGAUCAUAAAAUGACCAAAUUACCCUUUAACCUUUUAUUUUUCAUUACUUUUUUAAUAUAAUAAAAUAACUGAAGAAAAAGCUAUUAAUUUAGAACUAGUCUUUACAGACCAACAAAUUAAAAAAAAAUUGGUCUUUAGUUUGUGAUAGACAACUCCUCUCCUCUCUUCUCUACCUAGACACACACACUGAGAGCCGGAGAGGAGAUCUACGAUGAAUACGAUCUCUUCUCCUUCCAUUUCCACAGGUGAAACAAACAUAGGGAUGUCUUUCACCAGGCUUUCUGCCAUCUCUUUGCCUACACAGAUAUGCGUAUACAAACAUGGUGGGUCGACGCGAUGCCAAUGAUAAGACCACCAUUCUCUACAAACUCAAGCUCAAGCUCGGCGAGUUCGUAUAUCUAGAGCAAUGAUAGAUCACCCAAAAAAGCACUAUCUAUUCCGCCUCGCCAUGGCCCCUCUUCUUUAAAACUCACUAUCCAUUCCUUCUUUUACCCCGACUGAUUGAGUAGCAGCCUAUGGCACAAUUUAACCCAGACAUGUGAUUCAUGGAUCACUUCUUACAAUGACAAAUUGAAACAGGGGUAUCAACAUUCAAGGUCACAGUAAAACUCCUAGUCUCCUACCUUGAAAAACAUAGUUCAUAUAAAAAUAUUUACAACCUAGAACCCCAAGUUGGUAAAUUUGGCACUCUUUAGUCAAAGCCCCAAUUCCAUAAUGCAAACAGAGGAAGAACACGAAAUAAUAAGAAGGUAUAUCAAGUCAAAAAUCAAAGUAUAAUAAACACAAGUACCUCAAUAUCUCUAUUAGUAAUAACACCAUGAUCCAAGUUAGUUACAUAAAGAUUGGUGCUUCCCUCAACCCUUGGGCUCCAAACCACAGUGGCUCAAUACAUCCAAAUUACGUCUUCGACGUUGACGACGCCAUGACCAAGUUGUCGCCCUUGAACCUGAUCAACCGAACCCCCGAGGCUGGGAAAGGAGUGCGGCACUCGAGACGGGCGGGUUGUGGCAGUUGUCGGAGUUAGGUCUGGGAAUUGAAUUUGGAGUUGGUGAAAUCCAGUGGAUAGAAUAGGGGAGAGAGAUAAGGUAGGAAAAGAGAAAAGAGAAAAGAAAAAAGAAAAAAAAAGGUUAAAAUAUUUGUCCAGAAAAAAUGUUAAAAUACAAAAAGACCAAACUAUCCUUCAGUUGUUAGUCAUUUUAACGGAGGUAACAAUUCUAGACACCAAACUUGGGUCGAGAUUAAAACGUAAGAUACUGUUGUGAAAUUUUCUAAAGUUAGGAUACCAAAAUUUAGCUUCUCAUAAAGGUGUGAUACUAUUUAGAUCAUUUUUUCUAUAUAAUAUAUAUAGUAUACAGUGAACUUCAUGUGAAGCAGACUAACAGCUAACGAAAACUACGUAACUCCAUCUUAAAAAAUUGAGGUCUGAAAAUCAAGUUUUUUAUUUUUUAUUUUUUAUCAGAAGAAAUAACUAGCCGACACAUUUUCUGAACGAGCUGGAUAAUAUCUAGAUAUGUGUCGUUGUUUACAGGACCAUGUCAUUGCUUAAAAAAAAUAAAAAAUCGAAAUCCACUCUGUCACUUAUUUUGAUAUAUAGAUAUAUAUAUAGAUGGAGCUCGAGGUCUGAACUGAACUCUAUAAAUAGGCUUGAUUGUAUCAGUUACGUGAAAACGCAGCAGUAUUCAACAUUAUAUAUGGCGUUUGGAGGUUCUGUGUUCUUUUCGUUGCUGCUAGCUUUGGCUGCGGCUGCUAGCUUCUCCUUUGGCACUGCCCGUGCUUACUAUAUCCCUUUUAACCGAAGCAGUUUUCCGAGUGAUUUCCUUUUUGGUGUUGGUUCAGCUGCUUAUCAGGUAUCCCUCCCUUUAUUAUAUAUCUACGUACGUACGUACGUAUGCGUGUUAAUUCGUAUCCGUAUAUAUGCAAAGUGUAGCUACUGAUUGAUGGUAUAUAUGCUCUUUUAAUUGUUGUUUCUUCAAUCCGUUAUCGAUGCAUCUCAGUCAGAAGGAGCAGCAUUAGUCGACGGAAGGGGACCUAGCAUCUGGGAUACUUUUGUUAGAAAGCAUCCAGGUCUCUCUCUCUCUCNNNNNNNNNNNNNNNNNNNNCUCUCUCUCUCUCUCUCUCUCUCUCUCUCUCUCUCUCUCUCUCUCUCUCUCUCUCUCUCUCUCUCUCUCUCUCUCUCUCUCUCUCUCUCUCUCUCUCUCUCUCUCAUAUGCAUGUUUCCCUGAGCUACGUAUUCAUGUAUUAAAGAGGGAACGAGCAAGAGGCCACAUGCUCUACGUGCUAUAUAUGCUCGCAAAUCGACUUAAACUGGUUUUUGCUUUUGAUUCAGGACUUUAUCUGCUUGGUCACCAGGGAAAAAAAAAAUCACUAAGACACUGCAUGCCUAAGAGCUUAGCACUAGUUGUGAUUACUUGUAUAAUUUUAACGAAAGUGAGAGUUUGUCCAAUUAAUAUUAUCACAUUUGCUAGAUGAUAUAGGACCGAUAUCUAUGUAAACAUAUGAAAAAGCAAUUACAAAUAAAGUCAUAAUCCAUUGAGUAAUAGAUUGUAAUGUACUAUUAUAAUAUUCAAUUUUUUAUGUAUUGCGCUACAGUAAAGUGACGUUUAUUGUGAAAGUGUUAUUGCGUGAUGACAGAAAAGAUAUGGGAUCACAGCACCGGAGAUGUAGCAAAUGACUUUUACCAUCGUUAUAAGGUAAAUUUAAAUGACUUUCUCAUUACUUAAUAAUCAAGCACACUGAAAUAAGUUCUACUUAUAUAUAAUCAACAAAGCCAUCGCUAUCCUUUGAAGAAGAAAAAUUAAUUGGAUGGCAAUGUAUUAUAUAUGCUCAAAAAUUAAGUACGCGGUUGUUAUGGGAAUGUGAUCAUCUGUUAAUACCUCCUAAUAUUGCUUCAUAUAUGAGAGAUAUGGGUCAUCCAACCUUGAUCAUACGGACAAAAAUUUAAAUGUCGUGUAGCCGUGUGAGGUGGGACCCACCCAAAUGGAAGAGAUUCUGGCCGUAAGAUUAAGAUUAAAUGAUUGAUAUUAGGGAUCUCAUCGGACAAUAUUAAGAGAGGAUCUUGAUCCAUUUGUUUCGAUGACUGAUGCACGAACUGAUAUGACAGGAAGAUAUCAAAUUGAUGAAGAAAAUUGGGUUGGACACCUUCAGAUUCUCAAUCUCAUGGUCCAGAUUACUUCCAAGUAAGAACUAAUUAAGAUGAUAAUGUUGUGUAACCCAUCUUAAUCAUAGAAACAACUAAAUAUACGUCAAAAAUGGUUAAUAAUUACUUGGCAUGUUCUGAUGUUCAUGGCAACUACAAAAUUAUAUACAUAUUGACAUGUUCAACUCUUGUGCUUCUCGAUCGAUCAGAGGGAAAACUCAGCGGAGGAGUCAACCCACUCGGUGUCAAAUUUUACAACAAUCUCAUCAAUGAGCUCGUAUCAAACGGUGAACAUCUCAAUUCUGCUCUCAAUUUUCUGGCUCUAUCACAUUUUCCUAUGAAUGAAAUUGCUUUCUCUAUGAAUGAAAUUGCUUUCUCUAUCACAUUUCUCUUGACUAAUAAACUGUUGAGAAUUUGGCAAGUUUCAUAGUCGACGAUCAUUCCUAAUUUUCCUAUAUAUUAAUUUGAUGUGAGAAUUGAAGGUAUCAAGCCCUUUGUGACUUUACUCCAUUAUGAUCCUCCCCAAGCACUUGAUGAACUGUAUGGCGGGCUCUUAAGCCGAAACAUAAUGUAAGACAACGUGUAUCAGUUAGACGGAUCGGACUACCCACAUAUAUAUGUAAUUGAUCAUUAUAACUAGUGGUAACGUGAUCAUUUCGGCACUUGAUGUUUAACAGAAACGAUUACGGAGAUUAUGUGGACUUUUGUUUCAAGACUUUUGGUGAUCGAGUAAAGCACUGGGUCACGAUGAACGAACCUAACGGAUUUGCUAUUAAUGGCUACAACGGCGGUACCUUUGCGCCGGGGCGGUGUUCUAACUAUGAGGGUAACUGCACUUCCGGUAACUCAGCGACUGAACCCUACAUUGCGGCACACCAUUUGCUUCUUGCUCAUUCAGCUGCUGUCAAGAUAUACAAGGACAAAUAUCAAGUACUGUAACCCUAGCUGCAUUCGUUAUAUAUUUGAAUAUUACGAUGAAUACGUGAAUAUAGAUAUAUAACUUGAAUUAACGAACUAAUGUGAAUAUAUGUAAGCAGGCUACCCAAAAGGGACAGAUCGGGAUUACCAUAGUGACUCACUGGUGGAAACCUAAGUUCCCAGAACAGCUGGCUAGCCGAAGAGCCACUCUUAGAUCACUCGACUUUAUGUUUGGAUGGUGAGGCUAGCUGCUUAAAUAUUAAGACGUAAUUCUUCUGUAAAACUUCAUGUGUUGAUUUUGUAUGAAUUUUCAAUAUCUUGUAGGUUUGCCAAUCCUAUAUUUCAUGGGGAUUAUCCGGCGGUCAUGAAAUCUUUGGUCGGGGAUCGAUUGCCGAAAUUUACAGAAGCUGAGUCGAAGCAGAUAAAAGGCUCCCUCGAUUUUCUUGGGUUGAAUUACUACACAGCAUAUUACACAGUUGAUGAACCAGCUUUAUCCAACGCUGUCAACCAUAGUUGGAGUGCAGACAGACAAGUCGGUGCUUCUACUAGUAUGCAUCCAUCAAUCAUUAAUCCCCACACGUACCAUAUAUAAUAACUAAGUUCAACUGCUAUUCGAUUCUAACACAUCUAAAUCUAUUUUGUUGUCACAGCUGAUAAAAAUGGGGCUCUUAUUGGUGCAGCGGUAUGUACUAAUUCAUUCUCUCUAGCUCUAUGGUAUACGUUCAAGUUAUUCAUUUAGAUACUGAUGUUUACAAUUAUGUGGUAAACAUGCAGACUGAUCUGGAUUGGCUUUUCGUUUAUCCGAAAGGGAUCAGAGAGGUUCUUUUGUAUAUAAAGGAGAAGUACAAUAACCCAAACAUUUAUAUUACUGAGAAUGGUAAAACGAUCGAUUCUCUUAUAUAUAACCAUAUAUUACAUGAUUAAUUUUAGUAUUUUAUGCAUGCUAAGAUUGUAUAUAAUUUUGCAGGAUAUGCAUACGGAUAUAAUGCCUCAACACCAAUUCAAGAAGCUCGUAAGGAUAAUUUGAGGAUAAGAUACCAUCACGACCAUUUGUGGUAUCUUUUGAAGGCUAUUAAGUGAGUCACACUCGUUCAUGUAGUGCAUGGUUUUUGGUAUAAUUUAUAAUUAGAGAUUGAGUUAAUAAUUAUUCGAUUAAUUGUUAUUGAUUGAAUAUUUCAGGGAUGGGGUAAAAGUGAAGGGAUACUACGCAUGGUCAUUUUGGGAUGACUUCGAAUGGGAUGCUGGUUACACAGUUGGGUUUGGCCUAACAUUAGUUGAUGUCAAGGAUAAUCUGAAAAGAUACCUCAAGUAUUCUGCCUAUUGGUACAAGAUGUUCCUCCUGCACUGAUAUGCUGGCUUAUGGAUUGAUCCAUCACCUAGCCUGCGGAUCAUACCUCUCUAUCUACUCCAAAUAAAUUGAGCAAUAAUUUCCCAAUAAUUUCCUUAUGUAUGUCAUCUACCUAGCUAUAUGUAUGUAUCUUCAGCUAGCUCUCAUCAAUAAGAACUAUUGGUCCGCUUUAAUUGUGUUUUUCUGGUAGAGAGUUUCAAUUUAUGCACAUACUUAAGUGGGAACUACCAUAUAGUUAAAUUAUCAAUUCAAAUAGCUAGUUUUGUUUACUGUAUCAUUAUGUAAGUAAUGAAAUUAUAUACAUACUGAAGAAACGACAAACCAGCAACCAUCAAGUUUCGUGACAGGAACCAGAUCCGGAUCUGGAGCUCGAGAAGCCGCGAUCUUGCAUUCACGGCGUUGGCCAAAACCUUCGAUCCGCCAACUCCAGUUCGACCAUCGACCCUCUGCCGCGCAAGACCUCCUUUGCUCCACCCCCAUCUAUCCUCCCGCCGCGCCUUCGCCUCCGAUGCAGCAGCCGAAAAAUCGCUUCGGUUGAGAACCCGAUCUGCUCAAAACCCAUAAUCGAGCCACAAACAUAACCCAUGAAUCGUCUUCCCGUCCGGCCGCCCUCCACGUGCAUCGGCUCGGCCAUCGACCGCUACCGGUGCCGCGGCGCAACCGGACGAGAUAAAGAGGAGAAGGUGUUUUCAGAAAGUUUUAGAGAGGCGCGCGUGUGAGGCGCGUUCUAGAUCCCCUAUCCUCAUCCUUUGAUAAAGCUGACUCGAAAGAGAUGUUACGACUGAAAAAUAAACUACUUUUUAUGAAAAUUGAAUUCGAC